rnacentral:lncRNA from 1 species
UAUGUUAUUCCGUCUUUCUUUAAAGCACAAUUUCGAUACGUGUAUCAAAGGUCGGGGCAAAUUAGAUUUUAACAAACUUUGUACCAACUUAGAAAACCCUACUCCCUUUGCCCCGCCUAUAAAUAAUGUUUUAGCAGUUUCUCUCAUUCAGUCAUUCUCAAUGCAACUUAACAUAUGGCGGCUGAGAAAUUGAAGGGCAUUCGCCACAAUGAGGAGGUCAUUUAUGACGAUGACGAUAGUGGAAUUCAAUUUCAACAUGUAUUCUCUUCUUAGAUUCUCCAUAACCAAAUCGCCGAUUUAUUGUAAGUUCACUUUACUUUUUUGUUUCUGAAGUAACUCUCAUCAACUAGCACUAGUUUGAGGUGAACUAGCACUGGUUCGAUGUCAACCUUUAGGAGUAAUUUAUCAGAUUGGUUAAAUUUAAAAUAAUAGCAUACUCUUUAUUUAAUACAAUCCCACUAUACAUAUGAUAUACAUAUAGAUUCACUGACUACAUUUCAGCCAUCCAGAGAUCCCGAUCUAUUUAAAAAUUGCUAGAAUUGAUAUAUCCAUAUAUCAUGUUUCUGCGGGCAUAAGAGUUUUGUCCUUUAUGUUCAGUAGAAAUCACAUGUUAUACUAUAUUCCGAUAAAUAGAUAUCCGUGUUAUGAUACAAGUAAAAUUUUAUUUUUCUUAUUUGAUGAUGUAUUGAAUUCAUUUAUUUUGUAGUGAUUGAAUAAACUAUCAAUGGGCAAAAACAUCAUCUUCUUUAAAAGAACAUUUUAAUUUUAAUUGGUCUAUUUGAUCUAAUAGAAAAAUUGACCAAUAUUAUGUCUUUUAAAUUAAUUUUGUCUUAGAUUUAUUUUUAAUAUUUUUUAGAAUAAGUGGUUAAUUCAACAUUUAAUAAAUGAGAUAUAACUUAAUUUUUUUUAAAAUUCCAAAUUAAAAAACGAUUUGCAGUGAGUGAUUCAAUUAAAAACGUUGUAUCACCUACAUUUAAUCAAUAGACUUAAGAUUAUUUUUUUCAAUUAAGCUUUAUUUAUAUGAAACUGACAAAUAUAUAUAUAUAUAUAUAUAUGAAAGUAAGUCUAAAAAUUGGUGGGUGGAUUAUUCAACUUUAUGUUUAUUAUACAAAUUUUAUUUUUCCUUUUUAUGUUACAUAGAAAUUAUAUUACUUUUUCAUAGUUAUCAAAAAAUUAUUUUGACCGAAUUUUAUAAAACUUCCACUUAAAAAUGAAAUGAUAGUCUUAAUUAGUGUUUGAUUUUAAUUAAAUAGAAUUAUUCUAUUUACUCAUAUCAUUAUUCAUUGUAUCACUUAAUUUUGCUUUCUCAUUUAUAUUGUAUUGAUGUCAAAGGUGACUUUCCGAUGAGGAGUUUGCUCCCUUAGAAUUAUAAUUAAUCAAGAAAAUUAGCUUUAAUUGCUUUUCAUUUUGAAUUUUUUUGCCUAAUUUAUAAUUUAUAUUAACUCCAUAAUUGUAUAAUAAAAAAAGAACAAAUUUCUUUUGCACCUGGUAGUUUGAUGAAUAUUGAUGAUGUACAAUAUUAAAAUUUUAUAAAUUAGUUGUCUCAAUAUUCAUGAAAAAAAAAGUGAACAUACCACAUAAUUUUCUCAAAUAUAUAAUUUUAAUAAAUCAAUAAUCUAGCUUUUUAGAUAUGUGUCAUCUUCUUUAUCAGAAAUUUACUUUUCAUUCGUAAAUUUGGACUAUUACAGCGAAAUUAGACAAAUUUUAUGAAUUCAUAAAUAGAAAUUAGAGGGAGCCAUGAUUUUGGAACGUACCUGAAUUGCAGAGAUACUCUUGAAGUUAUUCAUGAAGUUACUACUGCAAUUUAUGUUCGUUUCAAAAUCAUGGAUCUCUAAUUUCUAUUUAUGAAUUCGUAAAAUUUUGUCUACAUUCAUCUACUAAUGAUACACAACAUGAUUUUUUUAUACUUUAUAACUAUGAGAGAAGUCAUUCUUAGCGCGAAUUAUAAAUAAUUAUGAAUUUAAAGUAUUUUGAAAAAAAAAUGUUCACCAUCAAUUAUAUUUGUGAUUCUGAUAAUUAUGAUUAUUAUUUCAUGUCAUACAUGUUAUUUACCACAUUAUCUUAUCCAUCAUAUAAGAGUAAAAUUUUACCUUCUUAUCACUUUAGUUUCAUGAUGUGCAAUUCAAAAGAUGAUUAAAUAUUGAUAAUCAGAAGCUACUAAAUUUAAAUGAUACUGUUUUGAGGCAGAUAUUUUGUUAAUAUCCUUGUCAAUCUCUAGCUAAGGAUGAAUAGCAAUAAAAAUUAAGAAUCAUGUCAUUGAUGACUUAAAGUCACAUUAAUCUGAACUUAAAUUACAUGAAAGGAAAUUAUGAAGCCUUGCAUCUCUGUUUUCAUGGUUAUUGAAUGAUCUAUGAAGUUCCAUUACUAUGAAAAAUAGAGAUGACAUGCUUCAUUGUAUGAGUUCAUAUUAAUCAUUCAUCACUUCGACUUUAAGUUAUUAAUAACAUAAUUUUUCAGUCUUUAUUGUUAUCACAUUUCUGAUAAGGAGAUUAACAAGGCUUUCAACAACAACAAAAAAUGCUUUAAAAUACUAUUUAAGUUCGAUAACUUCUGUUUGUCUAAUUGAAUCAUUAUUUGGAUUGUAUAUCGUGAAAGUUGAACGAUACAGAAAUAAAAUUUCAUUCUUAUAUAAUUGACAAACAGUAAAAACAAAUAACAUGCACAUGUGUGGAUAAUAAUCAUAAUUCUUAGGAUUAAUAGUGAAAUUAAUGGUCUAACAUUUUUAGUAAUCAUGCAAUAUCAUGAUUCGUUAUUUGUGUUACAACCAAUCUUCAUAUUUUUGUAGAUGAAUUGAAUUUUUAUUAUUCAUUUAUUAAAAAAUAUAAAGGUCAACAAUGCUAAUUAAGAGAUUUGACAUGUGAGUUUAAUUGAAAUUUUGGAGGGAGCCCCAAACAUUAAUUAUUAGACAAGUGAUACAUAUUUGGGAAAAACUUAGAAAAUUUGGUUAGCUCAUUAUAUGAAGAGGAUGGAUAAUAUGAAUAACAUGUACAUCCAUAUUAUCCCACAUAUAUGGCAAACAGGUUUAAGCAAAUAAUGUUCCCCGAUAAUUGUACUGUUUGAAUAGACAAUAUUUGUUUUUACUCAUUUAUUUAUUCAAAAUAUCAGAAUAGACAAUAGCAAUCGUGAUGUAACAUAAAUGAAUGUGUUUGUUUUUACUUGAUUUCUCUUGCAUAUCACUUGUUCAGAUUCGUAUUUAGGAUUGACACCCAAAUGAAUAUCGAGCUUGAUUACUAAACAAGAUGAAAUAUAAAUGCUCGCUUCUGUCUAUUCUCGCUCAAUGAUGUAGUUAGACAAUCGAUUGGAGUAGAGGUCGAGAGAUCAUGAUCAUAAAAAUCAAACCUAUAAAUCAGUAAUUUGAUAACCAUAGUUAAUUCAUGCAUGAGAUGUGAUACCCUUGGGUCUAAUAAAAUAUAUUUGGGUCCAUAUCUAGUCUCUUAAAAUAGAAAUAAGUUUAUUUCUCUAUCCAAAUAGUAAUAAUGUCAUAACAUAUGACAGGUAGAAUUUUUAUCCUUACUUUUGUUUACACCAAUUUUUAGAGUUGUUUCUCUAUACAAAUACACUGAAAUAUAUCGUAGCUAAAUAUGAAACUUUUUUAUGGCCAUCAGCAAUAGCCAAAAAAUGUGCGAGGUUUCUUAAUAUUAAAAAAAAAAAAAAAGUAGGAUAAUAUGGAUAUCCAUGUUAUUCAUAUUAUCCAUCCUCUUCUGGGUACAUGUAAUCGCAUUUACCUUGUUGGAACAAAAUGAGGCUUUUUGUACAUGGUGAACGUCUCACCAUUGAAAACCUGCAUAUAAUUAACAAGAUGGAUCUGCAAAAGCAAAGAAUAAAAAGGAGAGAAACAAAGACUCUAUUAUAGUACUUACUAAAUAACAACAUUUAUUUAUGUUACAUCGCGAUUGCUAAAAUCAUAACACAGUUGGAAGCUGCUAAGUCCACAACUUUUUACAUUUAAAGGGGGCAUGAAUGAAUAUUGAGAGGGGACUAAAAAGUGCAGUUCCCGACAUCAAUCAAACAAAUGGGGGUCUUGCCAUGCCCAAGAAGCACAAUUGCUUGCUAUUACAACACAAUCUCUGCAAAAUAAGCUCACUACUAACACAUGCUAGAGAAUAUUGGUGCACAGGGAACCCCUCCGAAAUAGUUCAAUCAAUAUCUCAACACUGCAAUCAUUGGCUCCAAAUGCAAGCCCUGAAACAAAAAUGUUAAAUGAUGCAAAGAUCAAUAUACUGGUAUGUUUUCAUCAUCCUAAAACCUAAAACAUAAAACAACAAUGAACACUAAACAAGUAGAUAAAGCACAAGUAAGAAGCUUGUAUCAAUUAACUACAUCUCAGUCUCACGCGCAGAUGCUAUAUUAUCAGUAAGACCAUAUUCCUUCCCCUCAAUUCGGACCACCUUUACUUCAACCAAAAAGGAUCUUGAGGAAAAAAUAUUGCAUCAGGGUAUAACACUGGAAAAAGAGGAAAGCAGCACAAAAAACAUUGUUGAUAUACCAAAUACAAGUAGCACAAAAGUAGGCAAAUAAUAAAAAGUAAAAGAAAAAAGGCACAAAUCAAAAGAAAUAUUUUAACCCAACAGGGAUCUAAUUGACUACAUGCUCAUUCAUGUAGGAUAGGGACAACCAAGAGCUAAGCAAACAGGUUUAAUAAUUGGACAAAACCAGUGUGCCAAAAGAUUCAUGUCUCGAGAAAAUAAUACUUCUCUGUUUUCUCAGCAAACACUCCCAAAUUUGGGACUACUGAUCAGCAUCUUUUUCUUCUAAAAAAAGUCCAGCUUUUUAAAACUAAAAUCAAAGUGUACACUUCCAGCACUUCUCUAUUUCAACUGAGAAACACUUGUUUUUCACUUCAUGUCGCCAUCAGCCUUAAAAAGCAACAAACCUGCACCUCGCUGGGCUCGCUUUCAAUAGCACUGAUAGGGAAUAUCCCUUUAUCUCUUUAAUGAACCCAAUUUGGAUUUCCCUUGUCAUGGAACCAAUUAUUAGUUCAAUCUCUUUUCCCUUGAAUUGAUUAUCCUUUUCUGCUAAUUUCUGUUCCUAAUCUAAUUUCUUGCGUUUAUCCUAUAUUUUGUUCUUAAUUGUUAUGUUCGAGGAAUUAGUCCACAAUAUUAUUAGGAACAAACCCCAACUUCAAUCCUACGAGAACAACAACAAAUCUCGGAUAAAGCAAUUUGAAGUUUCACCUUCACGCUUCACCCGAGUUCCAACGGAGUUACACGUGUUUUGACACAAUUUCUUCCAAAUUUCAGCUAGAGUUUCGAUCUUACAAACACAAUACAAUCAGUUUUCCAACUCAAUCAGUACACAAAACUUCGAACUCAACCGCUUCAUUUCAAAGCUAUCUCGGCCAACAAUGGCGGAUUCAAUUUUCAUCCAAGCCUAAUCCAAAUGGACUCAUAUGCGAAUCAGGAGCUCCUUACAAGCAUAGGAACUAAGCCCAGGCAAGCAAUUUGAUCGAACCUUGACAAAAUCAAUCGAACCUAGAUAAUCUUCUUUGCCAAGUCAGUUGUAAAUAUUUUCGAUCGAACCCAGUUCAAACAUGCUUCAAUUGACUUGAAACCUCAAAUUCAAACUCGAAAAUUAAUUUCCAACCGCCUUAGACGACACCCACUCGAAUUGGACCGAUAUCUUCAAAGAAUUUUCAGAUUUGAAAAGCUCUGAACCCGUCAAUAGUAAAUUGCAGAUUUCAAAAACAGAAACAGUAAUCAAGUCCAGAUUUGGGUCUUCAAAUCACGCAAACUUUCUUAGAUUAGCAAACCUCAGGUACCAGCGGAGAAGCACAAAGAGAAAUAGAGAAGAACAAGAUGAGUUUCGAUAUUCAUAUUUGUUUUAAACUCAAACAGUGUAGUGCAAUAUGAACCAAAAAGAAUAAACACAGAUUUACUUUUCUGAUCUUUUGAUAAAAAUCAAAUACUUAGUAUGUGUAAGAACAAACACUAAUCCAAACUCUGAUACCAAGAUGAUACAAACUCAAAUGUGAAAGCAAUAAAAUAGAAGAAGACAAUUACAAACAAGAUAGUACAGAAGGGUCAAUACAAGAAAUUAGAUCAGGGAAAAACAAAAAUUAGCAGAAAGAUAUAACAGAUAUUCCCUAUACACUCACAAAUUGGAGUAUCAUACUCAUUCAUCAAAAUCUAGACUACGGAGAAUUAAGUCAUUGAACAUAAACUAUGCAGCUAUUUAUAGUAGCUACUCAUGCUUAUUACAGAAAUGGCCAAAUAGGCUAAGAUUGUUAACUGUAAAACUGACCUUCAUUCCUCACCUACUAUAGCCCUUUACCUUGAUAUCACCUUAUAACUUAAAAGGGUUCCAAAUUGAGAGUACUAGGCAGAGAUGUAUCAGGAGGUAAGAAGAUUUAACAUUGGAAGUCUCCUCAGCAUCUUUAAGACCUUGAAAAGUCUUCUUCAAGAUGUUGACGAAACCAAGAGCUCUCUCAAGUUCCUAAUCAUUCAAGAAUCGAAAGUAAUAUUCCAUCCUUGAUAUCCCCAAACUGCUUCUGGUUUUGCUUCAAGAAGUGAUACAAUGCUAAAAAAUCUGGAAACAGAUCAAGAGAAUCAUGUCUUAACCAGUUUUCACUCCGAGAGUUUUUCCCUCCAUCCCCACCACCACCACUCCUUUAUAGUGGUAUCAGCAGCCAAGGAAUUCCAGCAGUCUGCUAUAUUCCAAACCCCAAACCCAUAAGGACUGUUGACAAUUCUUGAGCACAAAUGUCCAUCCCAAUCAUACUUGUCACACAUGACCCUUCUCCACAAGGAAUUAACUUCCAGGUUAUACCUCCAUAGCUAAUCAUAAGUAAGUUUUGGUUGUGUGCCUUGAGAUUCUUGAUGCACAAACCUCCUUUCUUUUUACUUGUGAUAAGUGUGUUCAAAUUAACCAAAUGGCAAGCUUUAUUGUCUUUGUUUCCUUGCCAUAUGAAAUUCCUCCUUAAUGCAUCAAUUAUUUUCCUCACUUUGCAAGGUAAAAGGAACAAAGACAUGACAUAGGUAGGAAGUGCAUCAAGUACAGUGUUCACUAAUAUGACUCUUCCUCCCAUAGAUAAAUAUUGGCUCUUUCAGAUUGCUACUCUUUUCGCAUCUUUCAAGUACCCUAUUCUAGAUUUCAUGAGCUUUAUCUUUGGAGCCCAAGGACAGCCCGGAUAAGUAGUUGGUAGUGACUCCACACCUCACAGACCAAAGUUGCUGCUAGAACCUGAAUAUUAACAAUCUCUUUAACUGGGAAUAGCAUACUCUUUCUCCAGUUAACAUGAAGCUCCGAAACUGCUUCAAAGAUGAUUUGAAUAAGCCAUGGGUGUUCAAGUUGAUUUGCUUUAGCAUCACAGAAGACCAGUGUACCGUAUGCAUUGAGGAAAUGAGUGGUCUCCAUAUUGUCAACCUCCCUAUUAGAAGCUUUAAUCCUUUCAGCCAUCCUUUUCCUUUAGAUAAUGGUGCUAGUUGCUACAUAAAUUAGGCACUUUCUGGUGGAUAAGGACUUGUAUAUAAACAACAGCAAAACAAUAGAUACAUAGGGCUAAGAGCUUGGUCUCCCAUAAAAUUUAUGAUUUGUCUGUAUUUAUCUCCUCAAGAGGCAACAGAAAAACAUUUAGGAAUCUUGACCUGGGACUUUUACCUCAUUAACAGAUGGUUGAACCCUUCAGAAUCCUAGACCCCAAUGUUUUUGCCUCAUGAACAUUGAGUAAAUCCCUUCAUCACUGAUCCACUGUAAUUCUUGCACAGAUGCUCUCUAACUUGUACGAUUUGGCCGACUGAAAUCUAUUCCCCCCCCCCUCCUCCCACACCCCACACGUACAGCUAGAAUGUCAUGGUCCAGUGAUACCUUGCUCCGUACACAAGUAUUUGUGUAGGAAUAACAUUAGACUAUUAGUUGUCAUAUCCCACAUCAACUAACCUAUCAAAUCGGCUGCAUAUUAGCUAUACAUCAGUUAACUAUUCCUCAAAUCUAAAUUAGUCAAGGUUGAUAUUUGUAUCAGCUUAUAUCUAUUCUGCUCAAUUUAGGCGCUUGCCUGGUAGGCAGAUCCCAACAAACUCAAAGUUCAGUUGGGCUAGUUUACCUUGGCCGAUCAACCUACUAAAAUUUCCUCCUUUAUCUGGAUUUAAAAUUGACAAACACACAUAGGUAGAUUUUAUCGCCAAAUCCACCAGCAAAAAGAUUCAAGAAAUUGUCUGUUAGCAUAUAUAUUCUGUUGUAUCUUGAUGGAUUAGGUUAAUUGGAGUUAUAAUUUUUUCAUUGGCUAGCAAAGUUGUUGCAGACACGUGACAAAUGUGCGCUACUAGGUUCUAUGCCGGAUUAAGUCUGACUAAAUUGGGUUCUCUACAUACCAAACAACUAGAAACUUCGAUGGGAGAAGAAGAAAUAAGUUUGUUUUUGUUUAGACACAAAUAAUAUGGAAAAGACAAGUGUUGAACAUUUUUAUGUCAAUAUGGUGCAGUUAGUGAAUGACAAUUCAAGAGUAAUGACAAUCAGCAACCAUAUAUAUACAUACAAGUAAACUGUACACUUACGUUUUCUGUGUUCCACACCUCCACCAAACACUUCAUAAAUCUAAAUGUAUCAUAAAUUUAGGUGCUUGUGUGAGUCAAACACUUCGACAUUCACCACUAUCUGAAACUCUUACCUUAUGUUAGUAUAAUAUGAUACACUACCUUGAUUCAACCACUAAACAAGCCACCUCUACUAAACCUUACUUUUUUAUCCGGGUCAAGACCAAGAAACUCACACAGGUAGAAUAUUCAUCGCGAACUCCACCAGCAAAACGAUUCAAGAAAUUGUCCAUCAGCAAACAUACUGUUGUAUCUUGAAGGCUUCGGCCAACUGAACCUGUUAACUUUUGUUCAAGUAACUAUCUUCAUCAAAAAAAAACUUUAUGUAACUAACUAUAAAGGGGGGAAACUAAAAAUAACGAACUUCCUUGGUCAAAGAGAUCCUUCAAUUUGGCUAGUAAACCUAUUAUAGACAUGUGUGACAAAUGUAUGUUAAUAAGUUAUGUGUCAGACAAAGUCAAUCUAAUUAUAUGAAUUGAGCUUUCUGCUUCCUAAGUGACUAGAAACCAACAAAGUAGAAAUUUGUUGGGCUGAUGAAGUGGCUGUGGAGGUACAAUGAUGAAGAUCAGGCUUUCUGGAGGGGAGUCAUUCCGUGAAAGUACAGGCAGGCAAGCCCCUGGUGUACAAGUAUGGUAUCUAACAUCUAUGGUGUUGGGGUGUGGAAAUCAAUUAGAGCUUUAUUGCCAAAGUUGGAAUUAAUUGUUUGUGUUUAAGUAGGCAUGGUAGAAGGACUAGGUUUUGGAGGGAGGUUUGGGAUGGUAGGCUAUAAACACGGGUUUUUAGCUAUUCUUCGGCUAUUAUUUACUACAUUUAAAUUGAGUUUGAGCUAAUUUAUGAUCAAUUUAUACUCAUUACGUGUGUUUUGUUGUGUAGGACAUGUCCUCAAGAUAACCAAUGAGUUUGGAGCUAAAACAAGUGAUUUGGAACUUCGAAGUUUGAGUAGAUGUCCAAGAAAAUUAAUUAAGACCAAGUUUGGGGUUCAAGGAACUAUUGGACGUGAAUAAAGCAGUGUAAUGACAAAGAGACUCGGAGC